rnacentral:rRNA from 1 species
GACGAACGCUGGCGGCGUGCUUAACACAUGCAAGUCGAACGGAAAGGCCCAGCUUUUGUGGGGUGCUCGAGUGGCGAACGGGUGAGUAACACGUGAGUAACCUGCCCUUGACUUUGGGAUAACUUCAGGAAACUGGGGCUAAUACCGGAUAGGAGCUCCUGCUGCAUGGGGGGGGUUGGAAAGUUUCGGCGGUUGGGGAUGGACUCGCGGCUUAUCAGCUUGUUGGUGGGGUAGUGGCUUACCAAGGCUUUGACGGGUAGCCGGCCUGAGAGGGUGACCGGCCACAUUGGGACUGAGAUACGGCCCAGACUCCUACGGGAGGCAGCAGUGGGGAAUAUUGCACAAUGGGCGGAAGCCUGAUGCAGCAACGCCGCGUGCGGGAUGACGGCCUUCGGGUUGUAAACCGCUUUCGCCUGUGACGAAGCGUGAGUGACGGUAAUGGGUAAAGAAGCACCGGCUAACUACGUG